AUAAUUCUGGCAAGUGUGCCGGACUAAAUACCGAGCACACGGCCGCAAGCAAACAUCAAAUAUGCCGGACUAAAUACCGAGCAUAUCAACAUCAAGUCUCAAACAACAAAACAAAAAAAAAAACUAAGUCCAAAAGUUCACUCGGCCUAUUCCGCAGUCUCGACAGUAGGAGCAUCGGAUGCAGCUGGAACAUCAUCAGGCGCAGUAACCUCGGCGUCGGGAACCCCGGUACCCUGUUCGGCAACAGAU
rnacentral:lncRNA from 1 species